rnacentral:lncRNA from 1 species
ACCAACAGACGAAGACGUGUACCAUCUUUGAUAUGGCACAUAUGUUAUGGCUUAUUCAACCUUGGUAAAAAAUGAGAUCAAGGCAAUUGGAAAAGCAAAAAAUCAUGGUGAAUGGGAUAUCAUGAUUCCAAUAGUGUAUUACAUUAUUUAAGUAAAGAGUCUGAAAUUAUUGAGCUUAGAAUCAUAGGAUGAACAAAGCUGGCAAUUUCUGACCCAGGUUCGCCACCUGCCACCCAUGCAAAAUAGCCAGAUAGAGGUAGGGAUUUUCUGUUACAAAGUGGAAUUGUAUCCAGCUAAACAACCCAAACUCUGCUGGAUCAAUCAACUCCAAGGGGUGUAAUUAAGGCUCUCAUGAUUAGAGUGGAAUUUAAUAAUCAAUUAUUUUAACAUUUUAAACCAUAUUAUUCAUAUUGGUUCAUUUUUUUCUUCAUAUCAUCUUAAUUUUAAAACAACUUUAUAUUUUAAAGCCAGUCAGUGGGUUAACCUGGGCCCAUAUUUUUCAGCCCAUUAAUGAUAAAAUAGAGCUUGAGCUAGAUACUCUUGGAUUCAACCCUACUUUAAAAACCCAUAAAUCCAAAUGCGACUUUGUGAAGCCUACAGAAGAUCCUAUUUCCCAACAAAUAAAAUCAUUAUAAAUUUCUAAAAUUCAUUAACUCCAACAAAUAAAAAUAAAAAUUAUGUCUUCUCAUAUAACAAUAUCAUACUCUCAGAAGUUUUUCUAAGAUCAUUUCCAGGAUCUAUUAACAGAUGCAUACAACAAAAACAUUUCUGCGUUAACAAACUCCAAAUAUCAUGACACCUACAGUCAUAUAUGGUAUUAAUAAAUGCAUAAUAGGACUUCAAACCAACUACUAGACAUUUUAACUCUAACAUAUGAUUAAAAAAAAAUUCAGCAUACCCCAAAAGGUCCAAUAUACCUUGAGCAGCUUCUAACAUAUAUAUAGUUUUAGUGAUCCGUUAACUACAAACAGAACUAGAACUUAAUUAAAAUAUCUGCAAGAAGUAUAAAUAACUAAAAAUAUCACAUAUUUGUAGGAAAUAAUUAAAGGAUACGAACAGGAAGAGAACAUUAUUCACAAUCUGAAGAUUUUGUGAGAAGAGAGGGGAGAGCAUAUGUCCCACAAGUAUACAAAUGGAUAUAUGGAAAGAAAAACUAAUUAUGGCCAGUAGUGACUGCAUAAAUGUUUGAUUGUAAGUUCCUUGAUUGAUUAAAACAAGAAGUUCCAGCCAAUUAGAGAUAUUAAAAAAAAAAAAAAAACUACUGAUGCAGUUCCAAGAAAACCGUAUAUCAGACAUUUUUGUUUUGGAUAUAUAAAUAAAAAAACAAUAUAUCAGACACAUGUUCAUACUUCAAAAAAGAAUAGUAUUUUAGAAAAAGGAGAAGUAUGAACAGAAGAAAGGAAUCUGAUUCUCACAUUGCCCACAAACACCGACCGUGAAUCAGCCUCCUCCUUGUUUGCUUGAGUAACAGCCGCACUAGCAGGAUCUAAGACAUGCACAUAAAUCAAAUGAGCAGGGUAUUUAAGUAAUAAACUUAAUUCCAAAGAUGUGUUAGUGCCACUGUUUGAAUAAUUGAGACUUAUAAUAAGCAAGUUGCUUCAAAUUGCUUUAAAGGAACAGAAAAUGAGCAGCAGCAUCCCCCUCGAUUCAAAUCAUUUACCAUUACAGAUCUACCAGGCAUUAACUGUACUAUGCCUUCCCAAGACUACUGUACUUCUUAUAGUGCAGCAAACUCAUUAACACAUCAGAAUAUAUAUAUAUAUAAGAGAUAAUCUAAAACAUCGUCUCUAACAUGAAUAUCAAACAAUUCAUCCAAUCAAUUAUUCAACAAAAUCAAAGAGAGCCAGAAUUAUCACCACCCAAAAUGCAUAAAAUACUACACAUGAUCAAACAGAAGCAGCAUCAAAACUGAAUCCUAAACCUUAAUGCCCCUUUGGUUGCUCAGACAAAGCAAGGGAAUUUAAAAGAAAAAAAAACCAACGGUUUUUUUUUUUUUUUUUUUUGGCUGCGUGUUUUGGAUGAGAAAAUAGAAGCUGUGAUUAAGAGCACCUAACGACUAACGAGCUUAUGGGGUGAAACCCAAGUACACUGGGAGUACCCAGCGAGUGCAAAAGCAAAAAAAUAAAAAUAAGUACAAAAUAAAAACAUAACAGCACAAAAACCAGAACUAAGGGAAAGCGCUUAAACAACCUGUCUAUUAGUCAAUUGCUCAAAUGAAAUCCAUAAGGGAGAGGUCAA